UUAAAAUGUUUUAUGCUAUUCAAUAUUCAGGAAAUGAUUGCAUUCUUUUACAUUAAAAAUGUUUAAGCAUUUAUAAAUGUAGCCUGUGUAGUGGAACGCCUUCUGUUUGUGUUUUUCUUUGUGUGCGACAUCAGUAAUUAGGAUGAGAGCAGAGCCACAUGGGGUCUUUGGGGCAGGCAUAUAUACCAACACUGGGGUCCUGGUAGCAGUUUUUGGUUCAUUGCUGUUAGGCUCAGUCGGCGGGCGUGUUGAUGUUAGCAUUCCUUGUUGGAACCGCGGGUUCAGUCUCUACUAUGUCAGGGUAUGUUGAGUUGUAUGUUGCUUACUUUGCUUCUGCUGGUAAAUCUGGAGCAAAGUCAGCACCAACUGUAGCGUCCAGUUUACAUCGUUGGCCUUAGUACCCCAGCAAUGGCGGAUCGUGGAGCCUCUCAAUAGUUCCCGGAAGUUAGCAGCAAAUACUAGCAGCGCUGCCGAGUUGCAGCAGAAUAGACCGGAUGUGAUGCUCUUUUAAAGGUUUAGUUGACUUUGGAUUAAUGGCAAGAACCACAACUCAGCCUAGAGACUCCCUACAAUGAGACAGCACCCCCUACCCUGCACCCUGAGUCUCAGCUCCCUGGGUCUUGGAAUUCUUUACCUGUUCCUUAUUUUUAAUAAAUAAAACAUUAAGCUUCCCAGUGGUGUGGCUUUUGUUUGUGAAACGUAUGCCGUGUCUGUUGUUGUUGUUGUUGUUGUUGUUGUUGUUGUUGUAAUAUUUAGUGAUGGUAAGUAAUUUAGUAAUUGCUCUUGCUGACUUGAGCCAGCAGUUUUUUCUUCUCUGUGUCAGUGGAGGAAAUCAAACAUUUUUACUCCUUUCUCCGAGCGAUUGCAGCAUCUCCAUGCAGCAGAGCAAACCAUCCUGGGGACUAUAUGCAAGGACAACAUGGAGCAAAGGGCACAGACAAACUGCCUGCCAGGCUAUUCAUGUUUGAGUUCGUUAUAGCUUUAUUUAAUGAAUCCAUCGCAGUAAAUAUGUGCAUAGUAAAAAGACAAGAUAUAUAAAAUGUUUGUGUACACACAAAUAUAAAUGGAUGUGUUUAUGUCCUGUUCGGUCUGGAUGUGAUGUUUCAAUGUACGCUUUUUAAUAGCAGAUUUUUGCAUAUACAUGCUGAACAGAUUUCUUUGGCUCCUUCUCCUUCUGUCCUUUUCGGAAAGUCAUAGAGUUUACAGUAGUCAUCAAGUCAUUAAAAUUAUCUAGGCCUUGGGAUUACUGAAACAACCAUUAAUUAAAGAUGUAUUUGUUAAUUAUAUUUAUGUUGAAAAUUAAUCUGAUCUCAAUUUUGAAACAUUCCUUCUCUUCCCCUCCCUCUAAGUAUAUCAACAUGAGGAUAUGACUGAUCUUAACUACCAUACAAGUUUCAGAACAUAAUAUCUAUAAUACUGAAAAGUCAAAGCAAUGAAACAAUGAAAACACACUCUGAAACGAUGUUCACAUUAACCCAACAUGUCAACAAGCCAGGUAACGAUAGCUGUUUAAUCCUCAAAUAGUAGCGAGUUUGACUUUAAAAUAUAGUUAUCAUUGUUGUAACUACACACACACGUUGGUUUUUCUAUAUAAAUAUUGUAAAUCGGUGCAUUUAUUGACUUUAAAGUACCAAAAGACGCAGUUCUGUCGCUCUGUGUUUAUGGGUUUAAAUUGCCCGCAAAGAACUUCCUGGAACUAUCCGAAGUCUACGUGAAUCACGUGACCAUCAAGCAUUUUGAACUUACGUUGACGCUACUCUUUCUGUACGGCUCUUGGCAUUCUACAUCAAUGAGGCGCUUACGUGAGCCCUGCGUGAACUGCGCGUAACUACGUGUCAUCACGUAAUUGCGACGCGCUGAGUGUCAAAGUGGUUUUGGAGACGCAGGAUAUCGGUGGCCAAGACAUUGCGUUCCUUGCAGAGAUGCAAACGUUAGCUGAUGAACAAGUGAGUGACCAAACUGGCUUGAAUAGUGUUAUGAGGUCCCUAGCUUUCAGGGAUCCGUCACUUUUCAGAAAUAGCUCUUGAAAUUUUGAGGAAUGACAUCAAACAGCUUCUGCCAACCCGAGAGUCUGCAAUCCUUUCAAGAAUCUUAAAUAAAAUGAAACAAAACAAAAAUAAAUAAAUAAAUCAAUUUUUUACACUUGGUGCCAUCUUUACAAAGCACUCUUUGUUUUUCAGAAUUACUAUUCUUACUGUUCAAAUCCUAAUUUGACUCCUCCUUCAAAGUAAUCCUGGGCAGCCUCCUGGACCAGACUGUCCCUUUGAAAAAGGUCCUUGAUAUGGCGCAUUGUGCCAAGUAUGGAUAGGCUUUUGGAUGCCUCAAAGAUAGCAUCUCUUGCCUCUUCAAUUGUUGAUGCAUUUUGUAUCUAAUUUAUUAAACACAGACAUACAGUGGGGGAAAUAAGUAUUCAACACAUCACCAAAUUUGUCAUUAAAUAUAUUUCCUAUGCAGCUGUUCACAUUAACAUUCAACAACUUUGUACCAGAUAUUUGUAUUAAAAAGGUUUUGAAGCUGUCAUUGCAAACAAAGUCUUCUCUACCAAUAAUUAAAUAUGAAUUGUGUUCAGUACUUUUUUUUAAUGCGUCACUCCACUUUAUUAGAAAUAACAUUUUAUGGAUAGGGAUGUUAGCUGUGUAAUUUUAUUAAGUUAAUAUCAAUGUCUGAUUUAAACUUAAUGAGAACUGGUUGAUGUGCUGUAUACUUAUUACCCCACUCCGGGGACAAACUGCCAGGGGAUAUAGAGAUUCUGCGAGUGGUAGGGGACAAACUGCCAGGGGAUGGAGAGAUUCUACGUGCAGGAGGGGACAAACUGCCGGGGGAUGGAGAGAUUCUACGUGCAGGAGGGGACAAACUGCCAGGGGAUGGAGAAAUUCUACGAGCAGGAGGGGAUAAAGCCAGUGGGGAGGAAAUGCCAGAAGCAAGCAGGGACACAUGAGUGAAAGGAGCUCACAUUAUGACUAUUGUAGAAGGUUGACUGGAGGUGGUGGUACUAUUAAAAGCACAACAUUCUGUGUUCUGUGUUUGGGCCAGCAUUUCCUGCAAAACAACAGAACAUUAAAAUAGUGCAAAUUGUAGAGUUGAGCAGUGAAACAUUUUAACACAGGGGUGCCCAAUUCUGAUCCUGGAGACCUAUCACCCUGGACCCUGAGUUUAGCUUUAACACUAAUCUAACACACCUGAUUGAGGUAAUGAAAGCGGUUAAAGACAUCCAAAUAUUAAAGCCAGGUGUGUUAGAUCUGAACUCUCCGGUUCUGGAUAUUUCAGCUGUAUUAAAAAACCUUCUGCUGGUUCAGAUAUAUUGCCAAUAUGUUUCCUUCUAUUCACUGCUGUCUCUCCAACUCCAAUAUCUGUCUUCGUCUCAUGUCCUAUUAUUAAAAUGUAAAAGGUGCAAUGUAAAGUAAAUGUCUGAGCAGCAACAAUAUAUACAUAUCCUUCAUAAUAUGUAUGAUGUACCAAAACAUUCUGAAAGCAUGAGAUAAAUCAAACCAAUAGCAAUAUUCAAACAUAAUACUGCUUACAUAGAAAUGUUACAGUCUUGUCUUUCCAAGUAAUUAAUAAAUCAUAGUAACAGAAUUUCACAACAUUCAGAAAGUCUGAAUACUAAAUAGUCUUACCCUUGUUCUGUCUAUUUCAAAGGAGCAGUUAAACUCAUUAUCUUGCUCUUCUAUCAGGACACUUUGUGCCACCAAGUCCUUUCAAUAUCACAGAGAAAUAAGAAUGUAUGAGUUUGCUAUAAAAUUACUAAAGUGCACUGAAGUGCACAAUCAACAUGCAUUUUUUAUUCGUGUGUGUGUGUGUUAACACACUGAUUAGCAACUUCAUUAUGUGCAUUUUCUUAUUUUUGCAGUCUUUGUCCAUUUUUUCAGGAUACAAUUACAAACUGUAGUUAACCUGCUACUUGUUAACCUCCUUUUGUCCUGUUCUUUAAUCGUCAGGACCCCCACAGGACCACCACAGGCAGGUAUUAUUUGGGUGGUGGGUCAUUCUCAGCACUGCAUUGAGUGGUGGUGUGUUAGUGUGUGUUACACUGGUACGAGUGGAUCAGACACAGCAGUGCUGCAGGAGUUUUUAAACACCUCACUGUCGCUCCUGGACUGACAAUAGUCCACUAAUCAAAGAUGUCCAGCCAACAGCGUCCUACGGGUAGUGUCCUGUGACCACUGAGCUAUCGUCUCUGACUUUACAUCUACGGGUCAAGGUAGGUGUGUCUAAGAGAGUGGACAGUGAGUGGACACAGUGUUUAAAAAUUCCAGCAGUACCGCUGUGUCUGAUCCACUCAGACCAGUGCAACACACACUAACACACCACCACAUCAGUGUCACUGCAGUGCUGAGAAUUGACCCACCACCCAAAUAAUACCUGCCCUGUGGGGGUUCUGUGGUGGUUGAAGAACAGAUUCUCUGGUCUGAUGAGAUGGAAGUUCUUUGGGCAGAACAGCAAGCACUAUGCCUGGCAAAAACAGGCACUGUACAUCAUUUGGCUUAUACCAUCCCUACUGAUGCAGGUCCAUACUCAUGCACCAUGAAACACGAUGCUAUGGAGGUGAUUCUCAGCAGCAGGGACAGGGACACUAACAACACUGCAUUAGCUUCAAGGCAAAUUAUUAAAUGUCCUUGAAUGUCCAUUUGAAGUCCAGACUUAAAUCCAUCAAACAGUUUUUAAUAUCCAACAUUUAACAAAGAAUGUUAAGUACUCUCUAUCUAAUAGUGAUAUUGUAAGAUCUCAUAACAAGUACUGUUUUCUCUCUCUCAUCAGCUCUUCACCUUCAUCAUCCAAGUGAACAAGUACCAAAUUUCGUCAGCUACAUAUGCUUUAGCCAUUUACAAUUAUGCAUCCUUACCCUACUUCAUGUUGAAUUUGAGUGAAACAGAAAAUUAUUACUUACACUUUCAUUUGACUUUCCAUGUGCAGACUCAGGGACAUUAGAUUCAUGCUAGGUUAAGAGAAAGACAGUGUUACGACAAUGGUUUACAACAUAUCUAUCUAAAAAUCAGAGCCAUGAGAUGAAUUGAAAUAAAAUUUACACUUUAAAAUUUAAUAAAUAGUGGAUGCAAUUUAAUUAAUGGUGAUUUUAAUUAAUAGUGGUUAUAAAUAGUAGUUUUGUUUUUUCAUAAACUAUUAUGGAAAAAAAGUAUCAUGCAUCCCUCUGGCUCAGAGGCCUCCAUGGACUCCCAUCUCCCAGAACCCUCUGGGGGAUCACGUGACUCUUGACACUCUAUCACGCUCCAAUCACUACUCUCUGUCUCCCAAAUACUGAUUUAUUUCACCUGUUGUACCCUAGUUAGUGUUAGUAUAAAGCCUGGGCUUUUAGUUCACCUGUCUGUGAGGUGUUGCUUCUUUCCAGGAGCUACUGAGUGUUUCAUUUCUUUGUUGUGAUGUCCUGGUUCUGACUGAUUUUCUGUAUUUUGACUUUGCUUUUUUUGCUUGAACCAUUUUGGCCUGUUUGCCUGGUGUUAUGUUUGUGUUUUUGUAUGUGUUGUCUUUUAGAUUUGACCUGUGCCUGUUUACUGACUACGAUUUUGGAUCACGACUCUAGCAGUAAAGCCUCUUUUCCCCUUUUUAUCUGCGUCUGAGUCAUUCUAUCACGUUGCACCCAGCACAAAACAUGUCCUGUGUGGGGGGAAGAAGAUGAAUUCAGAAAAUGGCAACAGUGGGGAUGGACUAAACCUUGAAAAAAUGGUUACUGGAUCACUGCUCUCUUCUGUUGCAGCUAUCGGUCAAGACAAGUAAAAGGAUGCAGUCAUGAGGAAUCCAUCUUCACAAACUGCAAAUGACAAAAAAAUCGACCAGUGACCUCCACAUCUGUUAAGAGCUGAGUAUAUUUAGGAGCCCUCUUUGCUACCCCACAAACAGCGGGAGUCCAGGAGGCGACGCACUGUGUAUCCCGGGGAGCCAGCAAUGAGACGCAGUGUUCCACAGAGGAACGGCCUGAGGCGCGACACAUGAAAUGUGGGGUGGACCCACAUGGAGGGCGGAAGGCACAACUGGUCGACCUGUGCACCCCCUGUCCCUAUGUCCCUCCCAGGCCCGCAGACCUGACCCAGCAGAAGACUGUAUUGUACUCCAUGGAAGAUUUUGCUGGAAUGAAUCCCAGUGACAUCCUCCAUUUUCUUCAAACGAACAGACUUACUGACAGCCUCCCUAGACUAUACUCUCUUGCAUGCUUAGUUGUCACAAUCCCAGCGUCAACGGCCUCCGUUGAUCGGAGCUUCUCGGCUCUGAAGAGAAUAAAAAGCUACGCAAGAAACACAACAGGACCAGUAAGACUGUCGUCCCUGGUACUCCUCGCGAUCGAGAAGCAUUUGCUGAUUGAACUGAAAAGGAAUGGGACAUUUUCUGACAAAGUCAUCAACAAUUUUCUGGCAAAGGAGCGGAGGUUGGACUUUAUCUUCAAAUACCUAACGGACUGGUGAGUUUUCUGUUUACGUAAAAGUUUUGGCUACUCUAGCAGACUGUACUCAUAGAAAGUGAAUGACCUUACUUUGAAAAUGAAGCUAUGGGAAAAAUGAAAAUAAUGUGCUCAUUCAUACAUGCUGCUUUUGUUUUGUCAUGUUUAGUUGCAUUUGUGGGCUAUUGAUCUGUAUUUCGAAAUGUAAUUUAAUGUCACGCCUAAAUGUGUUAAUUGUACUGUGCACUGACAAAAUUUUUAUGACUUUUGGCUUAUUUUUUAUGACUUUUGGACUAUUUUUCCUCAUAAUGCCACUUUUUUCUCAUAAUGCCACAAUUUUUCCUCAUAAUGCCACAAUUUUUCAUGUGUCCAUAGAAUGAUUAUAUCAAUAAAGUGCCAGUGCAAAACUGUUUUACUCAGCAAUAUUAGUGCUGAUUUUGUCUAUUUACUUGGUUCAAAAUGUAGUGCUAGUGGUUCAAAGACCUAUUUUCCUUCAUAAUGCCAAUUUUCUUAUAGAUUAAUGUUUCCUGAGUAAGAUUAUAUUAAUAAAGUAACAGCAAAACUGUAUUUUUCAGCCAUACGGGUUGUAUGGGCAUUAGUCAAACAGUCAGAAAUCCGAUGUUUUUAUUCUAUUCUGAUAUAAAAUAUGGUGCCAGUGCUCCAAGGCCUACUUUUUCAAAAUAUUACUUUUCCUAAAGAACUGUGUGUCUGAAUAAGAUCAUUACACAACAGUGCACAACAGUUUAAGUAAUUUUUUUUUUGGUCUAAUAUAAACCAUGCAAAACAAAAAAAUAAUAAUGUAGCUUACAAGAACAGUGACUAACAGUACAGUACCACUUUACAGCAUCUUACCUAACGUUUUCAACCUUGAGUAUGUAUUAUGCUGCCACAAUCAGUGAUCUUUGUUAUGUUGGCUUUUAUUUUGAAGGAAAAGUCAAAUGACUUUCCACCUAUUGUUGCUCAUUUCACGGACCUCUGGUCAUGUGACAAUGAUGCGUUGACCAAGUGUGAAAGAGGCGGUGCACAAUCAUAGUCACGUGACUAUAACAUUUCGGUUACGAAACUCCUACAUAUUUCAUGCAGAUUAUGUAUCACCACGUAGACGGAUAUGUCAUGCUCCAUGGACGCUACGUUAUAACACAGAUAAGCGCCUCAUGAAUAUGGAAUACCAUACAUUGCAUCUCCUCAGCAGGGACAUCAAAAAUUACGAAAAUGGAGAUACAAUGCUGUGUUCCCACAGUGACAGUGCUAGAGAAUCUGUUUUUUAAUGUAGAAAAGACUUAAGAGAUGAUUGUGGACUUCAGCAAGGUGUGAGAAUCAUGCUGCACUUCUCAUCGAUGGCUUCACAGACAAAGUGACGAGUUGCAAGUGUAUGUCUCUCAAUGCCGCAUUCCCAGUAAAAAAAGCACAGAACUGUUUCCAUUUUGUUCAGUAACUGAGAAGAGCAAGCCCCCCCCAUCCUGUCCCCACAGCUGCCUCUUUCCCAUUCCUCUCUCAUUAAACAAGGCACAGAGUUUCCACUUGACUUACUGUCUGACCCAGAUAUCUUUUGUUGGUUAAUUUACUAUUGAGUGUUUGAGAGAAGCAUUUAGAAAUGUAUGAAAAACACCGAUUCAUAAUUUCUGUGAGGCAUUAUCCAAAACUAAAAAGAAAAGACCACACAAAAGUACAAUAUGUAAUAAAACUUAAUGAGAAAAAUGUUUUUCAAGAAAACAUGUAAUGUUCUGCUGCAUGCACACUUGCAAUUUUUUGUGUUUGGACACGUGAUAUUUUGAUGCGUACAGGCUGGUUCGAUUGGUCAUUAGGCAUUUUGGCACCAAUAUCAUGCCAUACUGUGCAGACCGAUCGCCACCUGGCUUUUGCUACGGUGCAUGAUGGUUAGUUCUUUUUGUCUGACUUGUGUUGGCGCCAUCGACGUGCCACAAUGACACAUGGCUUUAUAAUCUCGCCAGUGCAUAUAGAAAGCCAAUAGUGCCAAAACGCCUAAGGAGCCAUCUUUAAAUAUUACGUGUUUAAAAUAAAACAAUGCGAACUUGCCCCAUGAGCUGAUUGAUGACACCUAAUGCCACCAUGACAACACAGGACAACCAUAAAAGCUUGCACAGACCCCAGUACAGGGCAGAGGUCAGCGCUACUUUGGGCUUUUAAACACAGCUUUAGUUGUAUUUGAAACUCAACCCUCAGUUUACCAGGGAGAUAGUCCCAGUCACUGUGUCAGACAGGGUUGAUCUAGACUUGUUUUUAAACUUUGCAUGACACUUUUCCUUACUGUGAUGAUGUACACAUCACAAAGUAAAGACUGAUUUUAUAUACUUACCUGUACUUACCUGUGGACUGAUCACCCUUGCCUUUAAGGCCUAAAAAGAGAACUGAGUGGGUUCACCUGAGUUUUACUUACCUGAGUGAGUCCAUCCUCUGUAGAAGAUGAGGAAAGAACAGAGCCUGAUAAGAGGAAAUUGUUAACAAGUGUACACUGUAAUUGCAAAUGAAUGUUAAUGAUGUCAUGAAUGUGAACAGUAAGUAGAGAAUAUGAAUUAUAAUUACUGUUGCAUGUAAAUAUAUUUAAAUAUUCAGAGCUCUUGUAUUACCUCAGGCCAGUAAUGGUUUAUUCUAGGGGAGAAGCGACCCAUGUAUAAGCAGCAUUACUGGGGGUACAAGGGGAUUCUUUCAGCUUAGUAGUUGACUGAAUGUUAGUGAAUGUUGGUGAUCUGUAUGACUUUGCAGUCAUUGAUCUAUGUCUUCUAGUUGUAGAGACUUAUUUUCGUUUUGUUUUUUGCUUUUAGUGUGUGCGCUUGUAAAUAUGUAAAUAGCUGUUAAUGUUGGUGUGUAAAUAAAGGUGACGGGGAGUAGAAGAA